rnacentral:rRNA from 1 species
UACGAAGGGGGCUAGCGUUGCUCGGAAUUACUGGGCGUAAAGCGCACGUAGGCGGACUCUUAAGUCAGGGGUGAAAUCCUGGAGCUUAACUCCAGAACUGCCUUUGAUACUGGGAGCCUUGAGUUCGGGAGAGGUGAGUGGAACUGCGAGUGUAGAGGUGAAAUUCGUAGAUAUUCGCAAGAACACCAGUGGCGAAGGCGGCUCACUGGCCCGAGUACUGACGCUGAGGUGCGAAAGCGUGGGGAGCAAACAGGG